rnacentral:lncRNA from 1 species
AUAUGGAUGCUCAUGUAAGAAGAGUUACACUGGAGGUAAAACCAUCAAACGUUUAUUUCAGCCCAAGAAUAUAUAGAGAAUCGAUUCGAAGAUAGAGAAUUGAUUGGAAAUAAACUUGAUAAGUUGGUUGCUGGUGUAGGAGAAUAUUUCUGAUGUAAGAACAAUACGUGUGAAAUAUGUUCAUGGAAAAUGGUAUACAUUAGAUAACAGAAGACUGUGGGUGUUCAGAAAUUAUGAGAAAAUAAGACUUCAGAAACAAAUACACUUUUAUAUACCA